rnacentral:rRNA from 1 species
GAUGAACGCUGGCGGCGUGCUUAACACAUGCCAGUCGAACGGAAAGGCCCUUGCUUUCAGGGGUUCUCGAGUGGCGAACGGGUGAGUAACACGUGGGUGAACUGCCCAUCACUUCGGGAUAUGCCUGGGAAACUGGGUCUAAUACCGGAUAGGAUGUUGUGUUGGAUGUCAUUGUGUAGAGAUUUUGCGGUGUGGGGUGAGUUCGCGGCUUAUCCGCGUGUUGGGGGGGUAUUGGUAUACGAAGGGAUCGACGGGUAGCCGGCGUGUGAGGGUGUACGGCCACAAUGGGACUGAGAGAGGGCCCAGACUCCUACGGGAGGCAGCAGUGGGGAAUAUUGCACAAUGGGCGCGAGCCUGAUGCAGCGACGCCGCGUGCGGGAUGACGGCCUUCGGGUUGUAAACAGCUUUCGCUGGGGACGAAGCGCAAGUGACGGUACCUGGAGAAGAAGCACCGGCUAACUACGUG